ensembl:lncRNA
UCUUGAGGGUGUAUCUCAUAACAGGGCCACAUCUAAACUCAUCUGUGCUGGGGAAUAGUCCCAAAGCUACAAUGUACCACUUUUACAGCUACUAUUAGUUUCUUAACCUUUAUAAAGGAUCAAGUGUGCAGACCGAUGCCACAUGCCUUGCACUGCCAGCAUCUGCAGAGGCUGCUCUGGGAGAGGGGUUUGUGACUGCUGUUCUCUGGGCAGGGAGCAUUUCCAGCUGUCCUCUCUCCCCAGGAGCAGGGAGUGCCUAUGUGGAAGGUCCAGCACCUGUACGGUCAGAAGGCAAAAUGAGCAAAGCACUGGUGGAGGCACAGCCCGACAGUCGUCCUGAACAGACGGUGCUGGGCAGACAAAAAGCCUGCCCUCAUUCUUUUUUUCUUUUCCAAAGUUUCUGAAAUCUCUCAGAACAAAGAUGAAGCACCCAACUAAACAUUCCUCAUUGAAAGGCUCCCUAGAUCAGCUGGUGAUUUUCACUUGAAAAGAAGUAAACUUUAUUCUUAAUUCUCUGGUAAGAAGAAAGGUACAGUUUUGUUGCAGGGAGACAUUUCAAAGAUCGUUUGAUUUAUAUGUGGAAACUUAUAUUCGUAUACUGAAUUUUGAACUUAUUUUUUUUAAGAUAUACUCAAAGGAAAACACUCUAAUCUAUACUUAUGUUAGUAGGCUUACUACCCAUUUUUCAGCUCACGCCUAUGAAAUGGCGUGGUGACAAUUGAAACAUCCCUAGUUUUACUCUUCUGACAUUGUUCCCUGUACCACCAGGUGAUUCAGUCCUAAUGCAGACCCCGAAUAAAGGCAGGUUUCUCAUCAGGACCUUCUAAACUCAUCUCACACUGUUGUGAUUUUUCACUGGGAGGCACAUGUGGUUAUCACAGAUACUACUUACGCAGCUUAAAAAAUAAACUGGAGCUACAUUUUUACUCUGAGCAUUAGAUAAAUAUGGAAUAAAAACAUAAUCUCCUUUGAGAAAUUCAGAUAUACAUCACUCUGUGUGCUAACGAACAGUUUGUUCUCUCAGCACUUCUCCGACUGGUCCAUGGCAGUUUCCCUCCCAUUGCCCCAUCUAACAAUAAUCUCAUUUCUUGGUUCUGAUUAGGAAUAAUUCCUUCUUUGUUCCUUUCUGCAUCACCGUGCGUUCCCAGAACUUCUACGAAAAUGAACUUUUUACUCGAUUAGUCAUUCUGUUUUGACAAAUGUGUGCUCAUUUCCUCGCAUAUACGUAUAAAAACUGUUGUGUUUACUUCUGCACAUCAUGCCGCUGGGUUUAACCAGCAGGAUGAUAGCGGAAUUGAAAUGGAAAUCUCUCUGUUAGGCUUGAGGAUUAAAGAAAAUAUGGAGAAACAUCGCUUACAGAGCACAGACUUCAGAGUGGCCAAUGUGGUACUGCUCAUGAGCAUUAUAGUCACUUAAACACUGUUUAUACUGAAAAAAAUCCAAGUCACAUUUGAAAGCUAUGAUCUCAGCAGUGGCUUUGAUCCCAUAAUAAGACUGAAUAAAAGGCUCAACAAAAACACAGUGUGUGGAGAACAGUAGAGGAGCACUACCCAGUAAUUUUCAGAGACAUUAAUGCCAGUUGGAGAGACUACAAGGAGAAAGCCCUCCAACUUUCAGUGCCAUUAAAUUUAUAGAACGUGUGUAACCUGGCAAAUCUCCAGUGAUAUGAGUUGAGUGCUGCAGACCUGCAUCCUAUCACAACAGACAGUGAACUGACCGUCUGUAUCCUCAGCUCUCACCACAUGCCAUUGUAAAAAAUAUUCUUGUGCAUUCAGUCAAAAAUGCUCAAAUCAAUAUUAAUGUUUGGUAUUUUUCCUUUAUAUUAAGAGCUUCUAUGAGAAAC